rnacentral:lncRNA from 1 species
UGUUCUUGACCGCAUUUCUCUUUUGGCUUGGGUUUGCAGGUUUGAGUGUCCAGGACCUGUGAAAAUAGGGCCGCUUCGAGUUUAUCAUCCAAUUACUAGGUGAUGAAAGCUAGAUUUUGACUUUGCUUUUAUCAUAUUUCAUGCCUUCCAAACUCAAAAUUUACUGUAAUGGAUUUGUAUUCUGGUUUUUUUUAUGGAUAUGAGUAAGGUCGAGUUACUUUUUAAUGGUUAAUGAAUGUGUUUUGCUUUUGGUUGUCCUAUGCUCUAUGUUUUUUCAUCUUCUGGAAAACUGAAGAUCUCUCACUUCUGCAAGUUUAUGUUGUUUAGACUUGUGUCUAUCCAGAUAUGAGUAUGGAUAUUUUCUAAAUACGAAAAAAUUGAACAUAUUCAUAUCAGAUGCAUAGUCGAUUGAUGAGCCAAGGAAGAAAAUAUUUAAGUAUAUUUGGUUUGGAUCAAGUGUAGGUUUUAUUUAAAUUUUCUGUUUUGGUUGGGAUGUUUUUGUUCUGGUUAUUCUCUGUUAAAUUGUUUGAGGGUUUUUUUUUUAAUUUUGUGUUAUAACACAUUUAGUCCUCAAAAUUGGUAUAUUCAAUCAAUUUGAUCUUAAUUCUAAAUAUUUCAACAAAUUUAACCUUCCAUAUUUAUAAAUUUUAACAAUUUCAUCCUUAAACGCAUAUCAGAAUUAAAACUAGUAAAACAGUUGAUGAUGAGGGUCGUCUUGUAUUUCGAGACUCUAAACUAGUUGAGGACUAAAUUUCCUGUGGUCUUCUUCCAGUUAUGUUUUCAAAACGUCAUCAGUAACAAUGAACCAUUAGUUUUCACAUGCAAAAGUAUAAUUUCAAUUUUUUUUGAAGAUGUGUUUCAAGAUCAAAACCGUGGGUUAAAUUUGUUGAAAUAUUUAUAAUUGAAAUUAGAUUGAUAUAAUGUAAGUGUUGAAGAUUAAAUGUGUUAAAAAUAUUUAUAUAUGUCAAAUAUGAACUAAAUUAAAAUAUAAUGAAAGUGUUGAGGAUUAAAUCUAAUAAUUAUUUGUUUUAUGUAAGAAAUUUUCUAUCAUUAAAUAUAUACUAAUGUAUACUAUUUUUAAUAAAUAUGAUAAAGAUGUCAUGCUGAUUAAAAAAAGUUAUAUUCAUGACAAGUACAAAGACAAAAUGUGCUAUGAAAAGUACGAUAAAUUACUUUAAUUUUACACUAAUGUAAAAUGCAUUUGGUUAAAAAUAUGAGUUAAUUUCUGUACUUUGUAAAAAUUAAGUUUUAGCCUAUGUAAAGUUAAAAAUUAAGUCUUACUUUUUUUUAUCUAAAAACUUAGUCGAAUCAUUUACCUUGUUAGUAUUUUGUCUCAAAAUUUAUCAAUUUGGUAUAUUGACUAGGCCGUAUUCAUAUCAUGUGACAUAUGAUUGAUAGAAAAUAAAUAAAUUGAUAAAAUUUUUAUGGAAAUUAUCAACAGUGAUGAUUGAAAUAAAAUUUUUAAAUUAAAAAAAUUAAAUUUUAAACUUUUAAAUAACUAAAUUUCAAAAUUAAUACAACUACAUUUUACCCGUUGCAUUAAGGACGAUGUCAUGCGGCAGCACAAAUAAAAACAUGCGCAGCAACAGAACCCUUCCAAAUUAAAAAAAAAAAAAUAGCAAACUUACUGCAAGAUUAAAUGCUUAUUCUUUCGCAUAAACUUAACCCCAUGCUUGGAUUCAAGUCGGAAAAGAAAGGAAAUGAUGUAUUUCCUUUGAUUAUAUUUAAAAUGAGUAAAGAGAACAAGAAGAAAUUAAUCACAACUUUCCAUUAGUUGUGGACAGGAAAAAAAAUGUACAUAUUACAAUUUUUUCAAUUAUAUACUUGUUCAUAUAAAAUUGAACUUCUUUUUUUUAUGUAUAAUAUGAGUAAUUUUGAAAUUAAUUAUUUUAAAUGACGUUGAAAAUUAAAGAUAAACAUUUAUUUAUAAAAAUUAUUUUUAUAACUAUUUCAUAAAAUUAAAAAGAUAAAUUUGAAUAAAUAUUUUAUUUUCCUAUAAUUACAUGUCUUUAGUCAUUUUCUUUAUUUAAUUUUUUAUAAAAAUUCAAAAAAUAACAUAAAAACACAUUUUCCCUUGAAAAUAAAGGAAAAAAAUUUUAAAAUUUAUAAAAACAUUUAAUAAUAUUAUAAACAUUAAUUAUACAGUACAAAUUUAAUUAAAAAUCAAAAUAUUCACAUCAUUAACACUGAAACUUAAAAUGUUUUAAAAUAUUAUCCAAAGGCGAAUAUUCAUCUAACCUAAGUUAAAGUAAUUAUAAAACAUUAAAAUAUUAAAACUUUUAUCAUAAGGUAGACAAAAAGUAAACAACACUUGUGCAGCUAGGAGAAGCUUUGUAGGCCCGUUCGAACGAUGGACUGGGUAUUUUAAUGACACGAUUGAUGAAUGAAGCCCUUUCGGCAAAACAAGCAUGAGAAUCAUAAUAGAAAAUGUUUUGAAAUCUAAAUACUACAAGGAUCGGGAGCUAGAAAACAUGGAAAAGAAACCAGCAAAUUCAUGGAUUUGGGAGGAAUUUCUGCAAGAUGGGGAAACAUGUGCAGAUCUGAGAAGGUACUAAAUGUGAUGUGGGCGAAGAGAUUGAUAAGCCAUGUCCCUUGUGUAAAAGAGAUAUAUAGGGUCUUUUUUCAAUGCGAGCCAUUUAGUUUGGGAAUCCUCUUUCUACCAAUCUAGACUUGGUGAAGGAUAGGAUACUCCAUUGGAUUUAUUUGACUAUACCAUGAAAUACUGAACAAGUAAAGAAUUAUAAGAGAAAAUUGGUUGAAUCAUUAUCUUGCUUACAAUGCUUAUUAAGGUUUGUAUUUAUACAUAUGAUAUUAAAGGUUGCUAAGCUGCUAACUAGCUAACUUCUGUAACUAUCUGCUAACUUCUUUAACCUUUCUUUAACAAACUAACUAAUCGACUGCUACUACUCUAACAUUCUCCCGGUUUGUCUUGUGUUGACCUUUUGGUUGACUAUCGCUCAAAGGGAGGACUCGUAAGGCAUCUCGAAAGGAAGUGUAGAAUUAACUUCGAUAAUGGCAAUAUAGAACAAUUGCAAAGCAAUAAAAAAAUAAUAGAACACACAGAUUUUAUGUGGAAAACCCUUUCGGGAAAAACCACAGGCAGAGGAGAAGAAAAUUCAUUAAUGUCGAAUUCGAAUAAUACAAGAGGAGUUUCAAUUGCAUCUAUUUGAAUGAUGAAAAACCUUUCUAAUCAGUGUCAAAUAGAUGAAGUGUAGUAAGGCUGUAAAACCUUAUUCUAUUCAAUGUCAAAUAAAAGAAGUACAGUUUUAUAUGGAUUUACUUUUAUUUUAUUUUACCACUGUAUUUUAUUUUAACAAGAAUUUGGGUCACACAACUCUAACAGGAAGAAAACUGCUUUGGAGUGAUAAGUUUGGUGAGAACGUCUACAAUUUGACUUGUUGAGGGCACAAAAUUAACAUGUAGGAUACCAUCAUGAACUUUCUCUCGAACAAAGUGAUGAUCAAUCUCCACGUGCUUAACCUUAGCAUGAUGAGUUGGAUUGGCUGCAAUUGACAUUGUGGAGGUGUUGUCACACCAUACUACUAGAGUAUGUUAUAGAUAGACACCAACUUUAGUCAACAGCUGCUUCACCCAUAGUAGUUCAGCAACACAAUUUGAGAGACUGCGAUACUCAGCUUCUGAGGAGGAUAUGGAAACAACAACUUGCUUCUUGGAACACCAUGCAAUUGGAUUGGAGCCAAGGUAAAUGCAGUAACCUGUGGUGGAUCGUUUGUCUUCAAUAGUGGAUACCCAGUCAGCAUUAGAAUAAUAGACUAAUUCAAAACAACCUUUGGUGAAGUAUAAGCCAUGAUCUAAAGUUCCAUUAAGAUAUCUCAACACACGCUUCACUACCUGCCAGUGAGUAUCCUUUGGAGCAUUCAUGUAUUGACUCAGUUUAUUGACACAAAAGGCUAUGUCUGGUUGUGUAAUGCAUGUAUACUAUAAAGUUCCAAUAAUGCUAUGAUACAAAUGACCAUCAGGAAAUGGACUACCACUUGUUACAGUCAACUUGGGUGUACCUACCAUAGAUGUUGGAGUCGGUGAGGCUUAAUCCAUUCCUACCUUAUGAAGUAACUCCAGAAUAUACUUCUUCUGAGAGAGAUAUAGCCCAUGUGACACAUGAUGAACUUCAAUGUCAAGGAAGAAAUGAAGAUCUCCCAUGUCUUUGAGAGAAAACCUGUUAUGUAGCUGAUGAACAAUCUUAUCAAUCUCCUUGGAGGAGCUUCUUGUGAUAAUAAUAUCAUCCACAUAGGCCAUUAGAAAUAAGGAAGACUCAACACUUGUUCAAAUAAGUAGUGAAGGAUUAACUUUAGGAGCAUGAAAACUAAGUUGUCCAACUAGAUACUCCCUCAAUGUAUGAAACCAGGCCCAAUAUGUCUAUCUGAGAUCAUAUAGUGCUUUGUUUAACUUGCGCACAAUCUGCUUGCCAUUUACAUAUAUAGUUUCAAACCCUGGUGGUUGAUUUAUAUAGAUUUCUUCAGUCAAAGUGCCAUUAAGGAAGGCAUUAUUGACAUCUGCUUGUUUUAGUGUCUAUCCAUUCAUAAUAGCAACAGAAAGAACAACCCUAACAGUUUUAGCACGAACUAUUAGACUAAUACAUAUCACAAAAGUUUGAUCCAACAUGUUGAGAAAAACCUUUAGCAACUAGCCUUGCUUGUAUCUAUCUACAGUCCCAUCAAGUUUCUUUUUUAUCUUGAAAAGCCAUUUGUAGCCAAUGAACCUCCUGAAAGGGGGGAGAGAAUAGAGAGUCCAUGUAUUAUUCUUGAUGAGGGCUCCCAGCUCAUUUUGGACAACUUCCUGCCAAUAAGGAUACAUCAUUGCCUCAUGAACAUCAACACGUGUAACAACCCAAUUUUGACCCUAAUCGGACAUAGUGAUUUUGGGACCACGAAUCUGAGUCAAAAAAAUAUUUUAAUAUUAUUUUUAGUGUCUAUUGCAUGUUAAGUUAUUUGUGUGAAAAUUUCGUGUGAAAAUUUGAUCGUUUGAAGGCUCAAUUCGAUAAAAAAGGCUUUAUCGCGUAAAAUAAAAUUUAGAGGUUAAAUUUUAAAAGCACCUAUUUGUUGUUGUCUUUUUAAGUGGGAGUUCUAAAGAUGAAAUUAGACCAAGAAAUAGUUAGUGGGUGGCAUAUGACAACAUUGUCCUUAAUAUAUAUGUUAUAUAUAUUUAUUAUAAUAAGGUUAAUUUAGUAAAUUAGUAAAUUAUAUCAUAUAAUUAAAAUAAGUAAAGAAAACAUGAAANNNNNNNNNNNNNNNNNNNNNNNNNNNNNNNNNNNNNNNNNNNNNNNNNNNNNNNNNNNNNNNNNNNNNNNNNNNNNNNNNNNNNNNNNNNNNNNNNNNNACAUGUGUUUUAUCUGAUUGCAGGCCUUGUCAUUUCUCUCACUAGCCGCGGCUUGCUCAACUGCUAGUGUGACAAGUCUUUUGGUCAAUGUCAGCUCGACAUAUUGCCCGUCAAAGAUAUGCUGUAGAUAUCAAUUGCCUGCAGCUAUGGCUUUCAUGUUCUGGUUUCUAUCCUUUGCUUUAACUCUUUUCAAUCUUUGGCUCCUUCUGUCUUUGUAGCGACUCGCAACUUCCAAGUUCCAACCCUUUCUUCAUACACAAAAAGUUCAGCAGGCAGAUCCUGACAGUUCCAAAGAUGUUCAAAUUAAGAAGUGUACAUUGACAGUAUUAUAUACAAACAUCAAAAUCUUGAAUGAUAAAAUUGAAUUUCAAUGUUUUUUGAAUAAAGUUUGCUGCCAAUUUACGAUUCAUUGAUUCAUUUAUCUAGUUCAUACAGUUAAUAUUCUAGCUUAAUAAUUGAGUAUUAUUAUAUAUUUAAUUUGAUUUAUUUAAUUAUAAAUAAAUCAUUGCAAUAUAUGUAAAAACAAUUUAAAAUAUAAAAAUUUAUUAAUAUAUAUUAAUAUAUGUAAAAACAACUUUUCCAAAAAAUAUUUUCAGGAAAUCUGCCAAACAGCAGAAAAUAUUUUACACAGAUUCAAUCAAACACCAGAAAAUAUUUUCCAGUAAAUCAUUUUACAGAAAAGUAAAACAUUUUUCAGAAAUCAUUUUACGGAAAACAUUAUACUGGCAAUCAAACAGACCCUAAAUUUUGAUACAUUUCAAACAAUACAAUAUGCUUAUUUGUAUAAAACAUAUUUAGAUAUGAUGUAAAAUCAUUUACAGGUCUUAUACAUAAGAUCUUUUACUGAAUCGAGGUCGACUAAAUACUAAUUAAAAAAGUUUCAAAACCCGCGAGUUAAUGCCGCAACAUUAGGGUUUUCUUGUCGCGACAUCGUCCAUCAGUGAGUUACUUAAAAAUCUUGAUUUCGCGAAGCCCCUUUUUUUUAUCUAUAUUGUGACACUAAGGAUAGAUGGUUGCAACGUCACCUCUGUUUUGGUAGGAAUCUCAUUUGGUACAAUUUUCAUGCUUCCAACAAAUACAUCACAUUUCACAUAUGCAUAUGCUAAUGUUACCAAUACAAAAACAUGUCAAUCCAUGCCAAAUCAAGUCAAUAUCACUUUUGAAACAACCAUUCUAAUGGCAUAAAAUUCAUGACCAAAACAUAACCAUUUUCAAUCCAUUUACUAACUUGCUAAAUCUAUUCACUAUGCAAUCCACAAUAUAUCUAACUUAUGCAAGCCUCGAUCAUCACAUUUAAUGGCACCAAACAUGUCCCAAAACCAUGCAUCAAAUAGGUUAUAUAUCAAACUUAUCAACAAGUUCAAUGUUAGCCACAAUUACAUCCUCAUCACAUACAUCAAAUUGAUCAUUUCCAUAGCAUAAGGACCUUAUAUACAUGCCACAACCUUUGGAACCAAAAUGAACAUAUUUCUACUAUUUCGAUGAUAGAUUGACAUCCGCAAAGAUCCGAAUUUGAGAGUUCCACAAAUUGAAGAUCUAAGUAAGAGAAGCAACUAAAGUAAGUAUACAAAUGCUAAGAGAAGCAACUAAAGUAAGUAUACAAAUGCUUAGUAAGUUCAAAUGGAAAACACAAUGUAACAGCCCGAUUUCGACUCUAAUUGGACAUAGUGGUUUCGGGACCACAAGUCCGAGUCAAAAAAUAUUUUAAUAUUAUUUUGUAUGUUUAUUAUGUGUGAAUUUAAUUAUGUGAAAUUUUCGUGUUUUAAUUUCGUCGUUUGAGUGUCCGAUUAAAUAAAAGGAUUAAAUCGCGUAAAAUAAAAAUUUAAUGGUUAAAUAUGAAAGUGUCUAUUUGUUGUUGUCUUUUUAAGUGAGAGGUCUAAAGGUGUAAUUAGACCAAAAUAUAGUCAGUGGGUGACAUAUGACAACAUUGUCCUUUAUAUAUAUGUUUUAUAUAUUUAUUAUAUAAGGUUAAUUUAGUAAUUUAUUAAAUUAUGUCAUAUAAUUAAAAUAAGUAAAGAAAGCAUAAAAAAAAACAACAAAACAUUCUUACCUUGGCCGAAUGUUAAGCUUGGGAGAAUUCAUCAAUGGCUUUUAGGGUUUCGGCAAUUCCCAUUGAAAAUUAAGGUGUGUUUUGGUUUCGGUUUUUGAUAAUUUUUAUGUUUUUGAGAUCGUUGCUUUGUAUACUACAAGACCCAUGCUUGAAUUUUUGAAAUUGUUGAUUAUUUUGUGUUUUUCCAUUGAUGAUAACUUGUGAUAUGUGAUGUUAGUUGAUGAAAUAUGAAAUAUAGGUGUUAGAUUAAAAUGUUUUGUCUUUGAAUUUUUAGUGAAAUUGAGUAAAUAGGGCUAAAUUGUGAAAUUAAAUUUUUGGGGGACUAAAAUGUGAAAUAAAUNNNNNNNNNNNNNNNNNNNNNNNNNNNNNNNNNNNNNNNNNNNNNNNNNNNNNNNNNNNNNNNNNNNNNNNNNNNNNNNNNNNNNNNNNNNNNNNNNNNNCAAAUUGUGUGUAAUUUGUGUUUUAUGCAAUAGGGAGUAAAUUGCAAAAAGUGUAAAUAUUAGGGGCAAAAUAGUAAUUUUCCAAAUUAUGUGUUUUUGGAAUAAAUUGAAUGUGUUAAUAAAUAAAUUAUCUCAUUUUGAAUAUAUUUAGAUCGAGAACCAAAGAAAUCGGAGUUAGAUCGGGGAAAAACCAAAAUAGUCGAAUAAUCGUCCGACUUCAAUUUUUCAUCGUCCGAGGUAAGUCUACUAGCUUAUAAAUAGAACUAAAUUAGUAUAUAAAUAUGUGUACGAAUCUAUAUUGAAUUAUUAUUGAUUUAUAAUCAAGUAUACUUUGGUUGAAUAGAUUUGAAAUAUGGAUAGAAAUUGUGUAUAAGCUAUGUUCGGCUAAAUGGAUAUAUGCCUAUAUAAGUUUUGGAAUUUAAUAUAGUUACGAAUGGUAUAUAGAUAAAUAUAUAUAUAUAUAUAUAUACAUUGUUUGAAUAUUCAAAUAUAUAUCUAUAUGUUUAUGUUUUUAUUUGAAAAUAUUUGAUGAUAUGAGAAAUGUAAAUGUAAACAUAAGAUUCGAACAUAUACAUGUACAUUCAUGUAUAACUUUUGGGAUGGAUUAAAAGUGUGUAUAUUGCAUAUGCAUAGGUAAAUUUCGAAUAAGUGUUUAAAUGUGAGUUGAAACAUAUAUGUAUACAUUCGAAUAGGUCUUAAACAUAUCUCAAGAUAUGAAUGUUAAGUUUACAUAUAUAUAUAUGGGUAGUAUUGAAUACGUACAAAUAUAUAUGUAUAGUUAGUUUCGAAUAGGUGAAUAUAUAUAUAUAUGUAAAAUUCUUGUAUUGAAAUUAGUUAAGUAGUAAGGUAUAUGAAUAUAUGUACGCGAAUACAAUUUAUAGAAAUUAGAAUUGUAUUGAAGAUAGGAUUUUAUAANNNNNNNNNNNNNNNNNNNNNNNNNNNNNNNNNNNNNNNNNNNNNNNNNNNNNNNNNNNNNNNNNNNNNNNNNNNNNNNNNNNNNNNNNNNNNNNNNNNNNNNNNNNNNNNNNNNNNNNNNNNNNNNNNNNNNNNNNNNNNNNNNNNNNNNNNNNNNNNNNNNNNNNNNNNNNNNNNNNNNNNNNNNNNNNNNNNNNNNNNNNNNNNNNNNNNNNNNNNNNNNNNNNNNNNNNNNNNNNNNNNNNNNNNNNNNNNNNNNNNNNNNNNNNNNNNNNNNNNNNNNNNNNNNNNNNNNNNNNNNNNNNNNNNNNNNNNNNNNNNNNNNNNNNNNNNNNNNNNNNNNNNNNNNNNNNNNNNNNNNNNNNNNNNNNNNNNNNNNNNNNNNNNNNNNNNNNNNNNNNNNNNNNNNNNNNNNNNAAUUAAUGAUUAUGUCUGUAAUUUGAUUAUAAGCAUAUAAUGUUUAUACAUAUGUUCGUUUAUAUGUAUUUUAGAUAUGUUAUAAACUUAUUAAGCUAUAAAAGCUUACUUCGAUUGUUUUUAUCCAUUUGUUUUAUAGAUAAAAACCAAGCUGCAGACUCGGGGAUCGUUAGCGAAGAUCAUCACUCUAUCUACUAUCUCGGUAUUAAAACGUUUAAAUUUUAACUUAUGGCAUGUAUAGGCUAGAUAAUAUUUUGGGAUUCAUACUUUAAUAUGAUGUAUAUAUAUAAUUAAUAGCCAUACUAAAUUAGUUUAUUUUUCUUAUGGUUUAACUGAACUGAAAUGUUAUGUUUUGUUAUAAAAAUAUAAAUUAAAAUUAUUAAAGUAGAAUUUCUAAUUAUACUUACUUCAUAUUUGACUAAUUUAACAUAGAUGUAAAAUUUUUGAAUUCUACUGAAUGUUUGUGUUAAGUUGCGUUUUGUCCGAUAACACCUCGUAACCCUAAUUUAUUUACGUAUACGGGUUAGGGGUGUUACAAUGCUAUUGACUUACUAAGCUUUUAAAUGCUUACUGUAUGUGUUUGUGUCUGUUUAAUUUGUUUUAUAGAUUUUGAGGUGGUUACGAGCUCGGGAUCGUCAGUAAAGUUUAUCACACUAUAGGAUAAUUAAGGUAUUUUAAGCUGAAAUUUUUCUUUGAGAUUAUGGCAUGUAUAGACUAGUUUGAAAUUGUUUCUUUUGAGAGUAAAUAUGUAUUAAAGCCAUGCGUAUGUGGCUUAAUUAGUUUGUUAUAAUCGGUUUUGGUUUGAAUGAUAAUUUAUGCACAUUUUGGUUUGGUUUGGCAUUAUAAGAAAUAUGUAAGGUAAAUAAAUAAUGUGUGUAUGGUUUAUUCGAACUAGGUUUGAGCUUAAUAAUUAUAUAUCAUGUUAAUAGGUGGAAGUGUGCAUUGUUUUAGAGUUGAAUUUGGUUUUGAAUGCUAAUGAAGAAUUAAAUUUGUGAAUUAGAAUUCUAUAUGAAAGUAUAUAUGUUUAAAUUGAGGUAUGAAAUGCAUUUUUAUAAGGUGAUGAAAUGAAAACUUUUAUAAAUAAUAUAUGUAUAAUUAAUUACUUAUGAGUAUAUGCAGUUUUAGUAUUUAUAUAUAUAUUUAUGUAUAUAAGAUAUGCUAAAUCGAUAUAGACAUAUAUACUUGGAGUUCACAAGUAUGAAGAUAUAGGUUUAAUAUAUGUCGAUUAUACAUAUAAAAAUAUUUACAUUCGAUCAUACCUUGAUAAAUUGAUUUUGGUUGUUUUAACCUUGUUUAAAUUUGAAUAAGUUCAUUAAUUUAGCAUUUAUAAGUACAGAAAUGCAAAUUUGAUAUAAUGUGAUUUAUAUUUAUACUUAUAAUAUUAAAUGAGUUUAGAACAUUUUGUACAUUUGCGUAGUGAUGACUAUGGUUUAUAUACAUAUGCAUGAUCAUAAUGUUAUUUGUAAGUUUAAAAUUUAAUAGAUGUAAUUGUGUUAUUUUGAAUUCAACAAGUAUAGAAUUUGACUUAUUGUUUAUAUGCAAGAUAUUUAAAAUAAGUGAUGAAUAUGUAUUUCUUUAAGUCACUUUGUGAAUUAUGAUUUUGUAUUUAUUUGUAUUCAAUUGUGCUAUGUUUUGGUAAUGCCUCGUAACCCUAAUCCGGUGACGGAUACAGGUUAGGGGUGUUACAACACGUGUAGUGUUAGAUAAUUGAGUUACCUUGGAAUGAUAGAUUUUGGGUUUGAAUGUGCCUACCUUGUUAUGAGUGAUCAUAGAAUGAGUAUUGACUAAAUUGUGUGAGGACUGACUGAACUCAGAAUGAUCAAUUGGACUAGGUUGACUUGACUCAGAAGGAACAGUAGGUUCAAUAAGGUUGGAAUCAAGUAAUGGUGCGCUAGACAUUGAACUAGGUGAUUCACUCGAGAGGGGUUGUCGAUGAACUGGAUUUGGAGACUGUUGGUGAGUUGAAUUUGGUUGUGAUUGAUGUGGAAAAAUGAUCAACUUUGAGCAGGUUGUAUGACAUGGUGGGUUGCUAUUGGAUGAUUUUGGACAGUUUGAGUUAGAUCGAAAUGGAAACUCGUUUUCAUGAAAUGUAACAUGUCUUGAUAUAUAUAAAUUCUUUUUAAAGAAUCUCUACACUUAUAGCUUUUAUGUUGAGAGGAAUACCCUAAAAAGGUACAAAGGGUGGACCUGAAUUGUAACUUGUUUGUGUUGUAUGGUCUGAGAUUAGGGAAACAUAAACAACCAAAGACUCUGAGAAACAAGUAGUUUGGUUUUUCUUUGAAUAGUUUUUCAUAGGGAGAGGCAUUACUUAAAGGUUGAGAAGGUAAUCAAUUUAUCAAGAACACUACACUACUAAAUGCUUCAUGCCAGUAGUACAAGAGCAUUAAUACAUGGGCAAGCAUGGAGAGGCCUGUUUCCACAAUAUGUUUGUGCUUUCUCUAAACCAAACCAUUCUGCUCAAACGUAUAAGGAUAUGUAGUUUUGUGAACAAUCCCUUUUUGAGUAAAAAACCACUUCAAAGUUUGAAACUCUCCUCCCUCAUCAAUUUGAAGAGCCUUAAGUCUAUGACCAAAAUGUUAGAGUAUGCCCAAAGAUCAAUCAUGAGAUGGUUGUAAUAACAUACUUGAUUUAUCAUGUUUAUUAAUAUAAGGCGUUACCAUUAUUAUUUCAGUUUCUUUUCUGUGUAUAUAAAUAAACUGUUUUAUAAUAAUGUCCUGAGAAUAAUAUGAUUAUUCUUAAAAGUUCCUUAGUCAAGUAUUAUUGUUGGAUAGGACAACGAUAAUGCAUUAAGACUAACAUGUAGUUGAUUGAUGAUAAAGAGUUGUCAUUGAUAUGGAAUGUCAGAAUCAUUACAUGAAUAUGUGUGUUAGAGUACAACAUAUUGGACUGACCCGCUAUGAGUAUGUUUCUUGGAUUAUUAUGUAAUUGUCACGACAUUACUCAUAAUGAUUAAUAUUUAUAUGAUCCUCAGACUUGAGAUCAUCAUAAUCCCAACAUCGUGAGUUGUAUAUUUUGAUACAGUCAAACGUACACCAUAACUGGUUGUUCUAUAAAGACUGAUGUUGGAUAUACCACAAUCUAUGUAGAGGGAUAUGGUUGGUCGAUAUAGGAUAAGUCUCUCCUACAUAAUAGGAGUAAUAUCUUAGGCCACUUGAUUAAGUGAGACUAGAAAUGCAUGGCCAUGCUCAAAUAAGUUGAUAUUAGAUGUCAUACUUAUUUGUAUAUCGUAGUCUGCUUAAGAUAUCAAGGAACAUGGAAUGGACAAUGCAAGUGUGACUAUUCCAUGACUUGUGUCCAAUCCAGAGAUAAAGGACUUAAGGAUUAUUGCAUAAAAGGUUAAUCAUAAAAAAAAAGGUUAUGUCGAAUCAUGAUCUCUUGUGACUUAGGUAGCAAUGAUGCAUUGCUAGAUGCCACUCAUUGAUUGUAGCAUUAGAAUCAUUCUAGUGUUACUGCUAACGUUACAAGAACCUACAGGGUCACACCCUAUAGUUGAAAUGAACGGAAUAAACCAUAGUUGGUAUUGUUUUUGGGGUCGUUUGAAUUAAAUUAAUUAUAGAAUUAAUUUAAUUCGGUAAUCAAAUUUCCAACACAUUAUGUACAAGGUUGUUGUAUGUAUAAUGAGGACAUGAAUUUGGUUAGCAUAAGAAUUCAAAUAAAUAUAUGGUUUACCGAACUUAUAUUUAAUUAAUGUAAUUAUAAUUUUCGGUAUAAAAAUAUUAUUAUCUUUAUUUAAUUCCUAAAAACCCUAAAACAAAAGGAUAUAUAUAUAAUCCCGUUUUUCUUUGUUUGAGCCUAGCAGCCGUCAAAGAAAAAUAACUCUCAAAACUGUUUUGGGGAUUCCUUCCGUUCGUAGUCAACUGGGUGGAUUACGUAGAGGCCGGGAUCACGAUAGAUUGCGGCUUGGUUCGACAGCAGAUCAGACUACUCGUUGUUGAGGUGUUGCUGUCUACUCUGAAUAAACAUUAGGUAAUUUCCCAACCUUGAUCACCUCGAUUCGUUCCUCACACAUAGAUCCAUGGUUAGGAACUAAGGAAACAUAGUUACCACAUUUGACUUUUUGUUUAAGAAGUAUACCCAAGUAUAUCGGGUAUAGGCAUCUCUGAAUGCUAUAUAGUAAGCAAAGUCAUUCGAGUGAAUUGGGGUAGGUCUUCAAACACAACGCCCACCAUUUGAAAGGGAGAAGUAUAUUCAAAGACAAUAACAUAAAAUGAUUACUUAUGCUAUUUUCCUAGGUGACAAGACACACAAUCCACAGUUUUAUUAUCACAAAAUGGCACAUUACAAUGAUGCAAAGCUUUCUUCAGUGUAGCCAAAUAGGGAUGACGUAGUCUAGAGUGUCAUACAUUCAAAGGUACAUUUCUAUCAACAAUAAAAUACUGAGCUGAUUUAUCAGUCAUCAAAGUCUUGAAGGCAUUAAUUAGGUUCAACUUGUAAAGUCCAUUGUGAAUCGACCCUUGCAACAACACCUCCCUCAUUCUUAAGUCACGAACUUGAGACCUGUUAGGAAAGAACUUAAAUAGAACCUAAUUUUCCUUGGCAAAUUUGGACACAGACUUCAUGUUUAGUGAUGUUAGGUACAAAUAAGAGAGACCGCAUAUAUAGUGGACGAGAGUAAGUGAGCAAGGAUGAUUGAACAGUGCGAAUAAUAGGUAGGGCAACACCAUUACCCACAUAUACCAUACCUGAGCCACUAUAUGGAGUGCUUUCAGUCAUUGAAGUAGUAAAGUGUGUAAGAUGAUGGGUAGCACCAGAAUUUAGAUACCCCAUGCAUUAUCUCCCAUAGUGUCAGGAGUUGUUACAAAAGCUUGAGAGUUGGAAGGUGUUGCAAGGACAUUCAUAGUUUGUGUUAGAGAAUGAAAUGGAUUUGUCCAAGUUUGAGAUGUUGGAGAAAAGAAUACCCAACUGCCUCGAGAGUUCAUUAUAAGAGUGGAAAACAGGCAUAGGUGAACUAAACUGAUGCAUCGAAGGGGAAAUUGAAGCCCUAUUGCUAAACAUACACAUGUUGGCUUGUGGAGGAGGUCGAUAUGCUGUACUUUUAUAAUUGGUAUAAAAUCAAUGAUAAUAACGAUCCACAAUAUGACCAAUUUUCCCACAUAGUUGACAUUGAAUACGCAAGUUAGACGAGUGUCCACGUCCACGACCUCGUCUAGAGGCUGAGGUGGGAUGAUAUGUUGGUUGAUGGACACAAUCAGUAAAGUCAAUGGAACGAUUUGUAACCAUAUUGGUUGAACUGGACACAUUAACCAUUGUAGCUUGUAACUUUGCUUCAGCAUCAAGAAGCAUGGUUGUAAUUUCUUGAACACUAUACCAGACCUAGCUUGAUAUGAUGUCUGUUACAAUGACCUCAAACUCAGAAGAAAGCCCAUUUAGAAUCACAGUGACAUGUUCAUGUUCACUGAUUACUUCACCACAGCUUGUAAGGUUAUCACCAUAGUUCUUUAUUUUCAUCAAGAAUCCUUCAUUGAUAAGUCUCCCUUUCGUUGAGAAUGCAGAGCACGUCUGUAAACUAUUAACCUAGACAUAGUUUUGUUGCCAUAGAUGGUAGCAAGUGUAUUCCAGAUUUGAGAACUCGAAUCUCUCCCUAUGAGGUAAGGAAGAACACUUUAACUGAUGGAAGAUAGAAGCUAGGAAGCAAGUACACUGUCUUUAUGAAAAACACCAUCAUCAUAUCGAGCAAAGUCUGAGUUUUUAUGAAGAACACCAUCAUCAUUAGGAACAAGUGUGAGAGGAAGGACCAUGCAACCAUCAAGAAACUGUUGCUACUUGUGAGUCUUGAUGGCAAGAAGUACUUGUUGUCUCCAUAGUAGGUAAUUAGAAUAAUCAAGAAGUAUAUUAAUAUUCUUGGUUGAAAAAAAAAAGACUAUCAAAGACACUAUCGGUGAAGAUAGAAGCCAUUGCUGGGGUAGCAGUGGAAGUCGCAGUUGAGCUGGUAAACACCAGGAGCAGUUCUUCACAGGAUCAAUCCAUGAGGAUAAAGACUUCUGAUAUCAUGUUUAACUAUACAAUGAAAUACUAAACAAGUACAAAAUUAUGAAGAUAAGAUUGGUUGACUCAUUAUCUUACUUACAAAGCUCAUUAAGGUUUGUAUUUUUACAGAUGAUAUUAAAGGUUACUAAGCUGCUAACUAACUAACUUCUGUAACUAUCUACUAACUUCUUUUACCUUUCUUUAAUAGACUAACUACUCAACAACUACUACUACUCUAAUAUGCUUCAAUUUAAUAAUAUAGAUAGCAGUGAAACAUGAGAGUUAUGAGCCUUUAGGGAAUAGGGAAAGCUUGAAAUGUGAGUUAUGCCUCAAGACGUUACAACAAAUAAAUAAUUUCUACUCUUAUAUCAUGUCUGCAAAUUUCUCGUCUACUAACAAGUAUUAAGAUAAAUCCUUCAACGACAAGUAACUUGGUGAUAGAUGAUGGAACUUGGUUUUUAAGAUAGUAAAGGGAAAUGUGGAGGAGUUACUAUGAUUGAAGAAUUGUUUCAACUCUCUUAAAAGUUGAAACCAAGAUGACACUCAUCCACCUAACAAUUGGGAAUAAAGUGAUGUAACUUAUUAAUAAAAAGAAACCAUGGAUCAAUCUCCUCAUAGUUAGAUGAAAGGUUUUUUUUUUCAAAAAUAACUCAAAUAAGUUUAUUAUUUAUGAAAAUGACACACUUGCAAAAUCAUGUAUGAAAUUGACCUGUUUUGAACAGUGAAACUAGGUGCUGCCAUUGUCAUUAGAGGCAUCACCCUUCAUAAUGGGUCAAUCAUUGGUUGGUUUUAAAAAAAUAAUAAUAUUUUUGGGUGCCGUUGUUGUCAUUGGCGGCACCAAAUUGAAGUGUGAUUAAAUAAAACGUUUAAAAACCUGAUGAAACAAUUACCAUUUUAGAUUUGAUGAAAAAAGAUGAGUGGCGCCAUUAUUGCUGCUGACAACCAAUUAAAUGCUUUUAAACUUUUGGUUUAUUUGAAUGUUUGGUCUGUCCUCUUAUGAAAUUAAAUUUAAAUACCUUUUAAAAAUAUAAGAAUAAAAAAUAAACCCUUGAAAUUAUUCUUUUAUUUUUUUAAAAACAAUAAACAUAAAAAAUUAUAUAAAAUUCUUAUUUAAAUUACCCAAAUAUAUUCAUUGAGAAUUUUCCUCAAGUAAAAAAUUCUUAUUUAAAACUUUAGAAAAUUUAUUGAGGGAUAUAUUUGGGUAAUUUAAAUAAGAACUUUGUCGAAACCAUUUUUAUUUAAAAAAAAUAAAAAAUACUUGUCGAUGAAAAUUGGAGUCGCCACUAAUCUUUUAUUAAGGUGUGAUUGGAUCACCUAAAAACGACAUUGGUCUACGAGUUUUAGAAAAACGGGUUCAAAAGUCAAUUACGUACGAGGAAGGAUUAGCACCCUCGUAACGCCCAAAAAUUGAUACCAAAUUGAUUAAUUAAUGUCUUAACGUCGAGAGUUAAAAAUACGAUCCUUAAUUAAAUUAAAUUAUUUAUUAAGACUCCCUCAUUUUGAAACAGAAAACAUCACACCCAAUACGUUAGGGCACGAUAUUUUAUUUCUUCAAGAUGAGUUUGUCCAAAAGAUUUGUGUGAUAAAAUUUAAAAGAAUAUUCAUUUGUUUAAAAUUUAUAAGGAAAUCGUAGCCCAAUACAUUAGGGCACAAUUUCUCAAAAUUCUAAGCAUUGAAUAUUUCCUUUAUUAUUUUUUUAGAAAAAUUUUUAUCUCGAGAAAUCAACGCGUCACAUCCAAUACGUUAGGACACCACAUGUUGAAUUCCCGAUGACAAGCUUUAUUUUGUUUGAUUAAAGAGCAAAUCUCGAUCGUUAGAUUUUACGAAGAAAAUUGGAACCCAAUAUGUUAAGGCUCAAUUUUCUUGAAAAUCCUAAAGAUGAUGUAAUGUUAUAUUGUAUGUAUAAAUGUCGCGAUAGCAAAUACAACAAUAAUAAACACAGCAAUGGCAUAGAAAUAAUAUAAACAAAUAAAUGAACGAAACUAAUAUUCCUAAGAAAAAAUAAUUAAUGACAUGCAAAGUAUCAAAUAAACGAGCAAGAUAAAAAAUAAUAUAAAUGAAAACACAAAUUAAUAAACAAAUGAAAUAAAUAAAUAAAAAAAAUACAGAAUAAAAAGUACAUAAUAUAUACAUUGAACUUAUGAAGAAUAAAAAGACAUGCACAUGGAUUUACAUAUAAAAUCUAGAAUUAUAAAAUUUAUAUAGAAAAAUAUAUAAUGUAUUUAAGAAAAUAAAGAAAAAUACAUAAUUAUACGUAUAUAUAUAAAAUAAUAAGAAAUAUGUUUUUUAAAAAUAAGUAAGUAUUUAAUCAUUUUAAAAAACAUGAAUAUAUACGUGUAUAUAUAUAAAUAUAAAAAAAUAUUCAUUAAAAAAUAUAAAUAUAGAAAAAUAUUCGUUAGAAAAAAUAUAAAUAUAUAUACAUAUAGAUUUUUUUAAAAAAAUUAAAAUUAUAUAUAUAAUAAUUACAUUAUCAAUUAAUUAAAAAAAUAAAGAAGAUUAAAAAAGGACUAAAUUGAACUGAAGAUAAAAAAUCUGGGGUAAAUUCGCAAAUAAUUGAAGAUCAGAGGAUCAUAUUGAACACGCAAAGAAUGCAGAGAGGUUGGAAAGAAAAUUGUCCCUUCACCUCUAAAACGGCGUCGUUGCAAGUUUGACCAAAUUGAAAUUGAAAACAAAUUAAAGGCGAAUUUUAAAAAUAAAACAAACUUAAUUGUAAAAAGUAUUAAAAUGCGGAGGGGCUAAAAGCGCAAUUUACCCCUCCACUCAAAAACACGCGGAUCCUAGGCUGGGUCGGGUCGGAGUCGGGUUGGCCUCCCCAAAACGACGCCGUUUUGGGCGUCUGGGGCUCUCCAAAACGACAUCGUUUUGGUUCCCUAUAAAAGCCCCCAUCUCUCCAAAAAAACUCAUUUUAAACCCUAUUUAAAAAAAAACAAAAUCCUUUCAAAAAAAAAGCUCUCCCCUUCAGUUCUCCAGCGUCCAGUCCAGCCAUCGGCCGAUCAUCGGCCACCACGCCGGCCGUCGAUCUUCGGUGCCGGCACCACCGUCUGCGGUGGCCGAAAUGGGGAAAAUCCCUUAUUCAGUUCCUUCGGCCUCUCUAAACCUAAAUCUGGGUUUGGAGUUUUAAAAAUAUCGACGAAAACCACAAAGAAUUCAAGGAAACCCUUCGAUUUUCGGCCAUCGAUCCUCGGCGUAGCUCCUCAAACGCUUCAGCGCCGUUUCAAAGUCCAAAGAAAGGUGGUUUCUUUCAUUUUUACUUUUAUAUUAUUCGUUUAUAAAAAAAUAAAAUAAUAAAUAUAACAAUAGAAAAAUAAAUAAAUAUUGUAAAUGUCAACCUUUUUUAUCGAUUUGCCCUCUGUAUUGAACUCUCGGUUUGCUGUGAAAAUAAUAACUUUUUUUAUUUGAUAUUCCCAGGGUCCCCUUUACAGUAUUCUUAAUGGCUUUUUAUAGCAAUAAUAAAACAAAUAGUAUAGAAAGUAAAUCUUGUUUACAUCGAUUUGAUUCUCAAUCUUUUGAUUUUUCUUUCCAUAUACUAUUUUGUUUCUUUUCUUGUUAUGCAGGUGAAGCGGGGAUGCGGCUCUUGCGAAACCUGGCUGCAGCGCGAGGCUUACCCCAAAAACCCUAGGGUUUUUGAAACUGCUUCGGCCCGGGAUUUAUUUUGGGCCUCUGUUUAUUUCAGUUUAGGCCCUUAUGGGCCUAUUUGUAAUUGGACUCUAUAUUUAUUUUUUCAUGUAGGCCGUGUAAAAUUUAGGUGUUACAGUUGCCCCUCUUUGCUCGUUAUUGUGUAACGGAACGGAGCAAAGACUUUAAAAAUGCCCAAUUUUGCCCGGUCGUGCUUGGCCCUUGGUACUCCUUUUCUUCAAGUAGCCUCAUUCCUUCCUACUGCAUCUUCAAAGGUAUAGGAACUAAUGCAUCAAUCUAUUCCACUGCAAUGCCAUGGAGAUGGGAUUCGUACAUUGUAGUUUUCUCAAAAUUUUGUUAUCUUUAAUAUGCUCCACUGCAACUUUAGGGAGAUAAGACUUAUAGCUUCAACUUGAUCUGCUGCAACUUAAAGAUGAAUUUGAUGCGAUUUGCUCUACUGUAAUUUUAUAGAGAUAAGAUCCAUCACUCUAAUCCACUCCACUACAACUUUAGAGAGACAGGAUUUGUUUAUUUAGUCUGCCCCACUGCAAUUUCAGGGGGAUAAGACUUGCUUUCUUGAGUCUGCUCCACUGCAACUUUAGGGAGAUAAGACUCGAUGUGAUCUACUCUACUGUAACUUCAGAGAGAUAAGAUCUGUGGUUUUAAUCCACUCCACUGUAACUUCAAGGAGAUAGGAUUAUUGGCUUUAAUCUGCUCCACUGCAACUUCAGGGAGAUAAGAUUCGCCAUCUUCAAUCUUUCAUUGUUGGGGAAACGAGAUUCGCCGUCGUAGCUUCAAUCUGUUCCACUACACCGCCAGGGAAGUAAAAUUCACUAUUGCGGCUUCAAUCUUUUUAAUUGCAAUGUUGGGGAAACGAGAUUCACAGUCGUAGCUUCAAUCUGUUCCACUACACCGCCAGAGGAGUAAGAUUCGCCGUUGCGGCUUUAAUCUAUUCCACUGAAAUGCUAAAGAGAUAGGAUUCACUACCCACAGCUUUAAUCCGCUUCGCUUUAGCUAUUUCAAGUCUUAACGCCAGAGAGAUAAGAUCCACUGCCCUUAGCUUUAAUCUGCUCCGCUGCAACACUAGGGAAACAAGAUUCGCUACUUUAGCUUUAAUCUGUUCCACUAUAACGCCAGAGGAUUAAGAUUCGCCGUUGCGACUUUAAUCCAUUCCACUAUAAGGCCAAAGAGAUAGGAUUCGCUGCCCACAGCUUUAAUCCGCUCUACUUCUGCUAAUCCAAGUCUUAACACCAGGGAGAUAAGAUUCGCCAUCGUGGCUUCAAUCUAUUCCGCUACAACGCCAGAGAAGUAAGAUUCGCCGUCGUGGCUUCAAUCUUUUCCAUUGCAACGUUAAGGCGAUAAGACUAAUGUCUUCGAUCUGCUUCACUGCCAGCACAGAAAGACAAGAUCUGUUAUUUUCAACCUACUCCACUGCUGCUCAGGGAGAUAAGGCUGAAGUUUCACCGGCUUGUUCUCUGGGGAACAUGACUUGUUCAAUUCAUGAACCUAUUUAUGCCUAGCUAUUAAGAUGUCAUGAUCGAAAUGAAUCAAAUGCCCCUAACUAGACAUGUAUGAAUGACAUUUGAAUCAAUGCAGAAUGUCAUUUUUUUAAGAAUGAUCCCUCAUUAUCAUUCAAGUUAUCAUUACUCAAAGUUUAUUAAGGCUUUAUCGCUGACGUGCUACAACGCCUUUUUGCUAGGCUGGCAUCUCUAAAGAAACACUUAAUCUAAUUGCCCCUACCGUGAACUUCAAAGCUCAAUCCACUGGGACGCAAAAAAUUUGUACCAUCUUUCUUCCACUGUGACCCAAUGGUAGAAUAAUUUGGCUUUUCCUCAAUCUUAUCGUAUCUCAAGGAUGCAGAUCAUGAAACACCUUGGUUCUUUACACCCUUCCCCGGGUAUCAUACUAAAUUCUUAUGUGCAAAUGAAGAAUUUCUUUUCUAAAGGGAACUUCUUUCUAUCCCUUGAAGCUUUGUCACCAAUCAAGAUUUCUUGUUGUCUCGUUCUAUCAACAUUUGGACAACAAAAUCUGAAAGAACAAUUUUAAUUUAGACUUUUCCUUCUUCGUUUUAAGCUUGGCGUGUUCUAAACCAUAGUCCUAUUUCAGGUUACUGAAUUAUUUAGAAAUUCCCAGAGUAAUAUGGAGAACUCCUUUUGUGAAAGUUUAUUAGUCCAUUAAUCAUUAUUUUAAUGCAACAUGCUUGCAAAAAGAUUAAAAUACUGACUAAGAGAUAAAUUAAUUUGAGGCAUAACUCGAAUAAUAGAAAAAGAAUUUAUUGAUAGCAAGUUUCUUGAAAAGAAAAAGUAUUCAAGAUCAUCAAAGAAUGAAGUAUUACAAGAACAAACAAAUUCAAUACAAGUAAUAUGAAGACUAGGUGCCUUGGAUAUCGCAGCUUGAAUUUCUCCGUACAAACUAAGAAUCAUUUUGAGUUUAACAUGUGUUUAGGAGAUCCACAGUACUUUGUUGAUGCCCCAAGACGUUGUAUAUCACUUUCCUGUUGAUUUAGGUGUAGCAGGAUCACCACAUGCCCCAACCUGACAAUGUUUGAGCCGCCCUUUUCGGGUUUUCAACUCAAAUCCCCUUUGGUCUCAAGGCGCCCUUUGUGGGUUUUCACUUUGGCCUUUUUUUUUAUGUCAGAGCACCCUUUACGGGUUUUCACUUUGAUUCCUCCUUUUCCUUCAAGUGAAAUAUUUCUUGACUGAAUCUGAAUUUACAGGAUUCGGUAAGUUUUUACCAUCCAUUUCACUCAAAAUCAAAGCACCUUCAGAAAAAACCUUUUUUACAACAUAAGGUCAUUCCCAGUUUGGCAUCCAUUUCCCUCUAAAAUCCUUUUGUAGAGGGAGGAUUUUCUUCAACACCAAAUCCCCCUCAUGAAAUUCUCUAGGACGGACCUUUUUGUUAUAUGCUCUCAUCAUUCGUUUCUAGUACAUUUGACCGUGACGAAUAGCUUUUAAUUUUUUUUCCUCUAUCAAAUUCAACUGAUCAUACCGAGAAUGGAUCCAUUCAGCCUCAUCCAACUUUAACUCAGCCAAUACCUGGAGAGAAGGGAUUUUAACUUCAAUGGGUAAAACUGUCUCCAUCCCGUAAACCAAAGAAAAAGGUGUUGCCCUAGUAGAAGUCCUGACAGAUGUUCGGUAAGCAAUAAGAGCGAAUGGUAACUUCUCAUGUCAAUCCUUGUAAGUUUCAGCCAUUUUCGCCACAAUUUUCUUGAUAUUUUUGUUGGCUGCCUCCACUGCACCAUUCAUUUUUGGACGAUACAGUGAUGAAUUAUGGUGUCUAAUGUUGAACUGGUUGCAGACUUCCGCUAUUGUGCUGUUAUUCAAAUUCAGUGCAUUGUCAGAUAUGAUCCUUUCAGGCAUUCCAUAUCGACAUAUAAUCUUUUUCUUCAAAAACUUACUGACUGCUAACUUUGUGACAUUAGCAUAUGAGGCUGCUUCUACCCACUUAGUGAAGUAGUCAAUAACCACAAAAAUGAAAUGAUGUCCAUUAGAAGCCUUUGGCGAUAUUGGCCCAAUGACAUCCAUCCCCCACAUGGAGAAAGGCCAUGGAGAAGUUAUAACAUGAAGAGGUGAAUAAGGCGCAUGCAUUUUAUCUCCAUAAAUUUAGCAUUUAUGGCACUUCUUGGCAUAAUUGAUGCAAUCUCCUUCCAUAUUGGGCCAGUAAUAUCCGAAUCUCAUGAUCUGUCUAGUCAUAGUGAAUCCAUUGGCGUGUGUUCCACAAAUACCCUCAUGGACUUCUUCUAAAAUUUCCUUAGCCUCUACAACAUCCACGCAUCUUAACAGUACUCGAUCCUUUCCCCUUUUGUAUAGAAUCUCUCCAUCUAAAACAUAGUCAAUAGUUACUUUCCUCAAUGUCCUCUUAUCAUUCUCCGUUGCCUGCUCAGGAUAUUCGCGAUUCUUCACAUAUAGCAAUAUAUCUUGGUACGAGGGACGAUUAUCAUUCUCCACUUCUUCAAUAUUGUAGCAGUGGGCCGGGAUCUCAUAAAUACUAAUUUGAAUGGGCUUCAUGUCCUCUAAUUUAUUUACUUUAAUCAUGGAGGCUAAACUAGCAAGAGCAUCAGCCAUCUAAUUUUCUUCUUGUGGGAGAUAACAAAAGGUAAUGUUGUCAAAUUCUUCAAUCAAUUCUAGAAUCAAUCUCCAAUAACGGAUCAAAUUGGGGCCUCUUGUUUCCCAUUCCCCUCUUAGUUGGUAUAUUACCAAUGCUGAGUCUCCGUACACUUCUAGUGUCUCCAUUUUUCGCUCUAUGGCUGCCCGGAUACCCAUGAUGCAAGCUUCAUAUUCAGUCAUGUUAUUGGUGCAGUCAAAGUCCAAUUUACUGGUGAAAGGAUGAUAAUCUCUAUUUGGAGAUACCAGGAUUGCCCCAAUCCCAUUGCCUAAUGCAUUCGAAGUUUCGUCAAAGUUUAACCUCCAAGAAUGAUUUUCUUGAGGAUCCUCUUCAGCAUUUUCCACACACAUCAAGUCUUCAUUCGAGAAGUCAAAGUCCAAAGGUUCAUAAUCUUCUAAAGCUCUGCUAGCCAAGAAAUCUGCUAUCGCACUCCCUUUGAUGGCCUUCUGACUUGCAUAUACUAUAUCGAACUCGGAUAGCAAGAUUUGCCAUCUAGCCAUUCUCCCAUUCAACGCCGUUGACUCCAUCAUAUACUUUAAAGGGUCUAAUUUUGAAAUUAGCCAAGUCGUAUGAUAGAGUAAGUAUUGCCUCAACCUCUUUGUCGUCCAAAUCAAGGCACAACAUAAUUUUUCGAUAGACGAAUAUCUCAUUUCACAAUCAGUGAAUUUCUUACCGAGAUAGUAUAUCGCCUUUUCCUUCUUUUCAGCCGCAUCAUGCUGACCCAGCACACAUCCCAUAGAAUUGUCGAACACCGUUAAAUACAAAAUCAAUGGUCUAUCUGGCUAGGUGGUGACAGCACUGGAUUAUUGGAUAUGUAUUGCUUUAUCUUUUUAAAAGCUUCCUAGCACUCUUCAUUCCAAACACCUGGAUUAUGUUUCUUCAGAAGACAAAAUAUGGGGUCACAUUUCUCAGUCAACUGUGAAAUGAACCGAGCAAUAUAAUUCAGUCAUCCUAAGAAACCUCGAAACUCUUUCUGAGUACGUGGUGGCUGUAAAUCUCGUAUUGCCUUGACUUUGUAUGGGUCAAUCUCGAUUCCUUUUUCACUGACUACGAAGCCUAACAACUUUUCUGACCUGGCUCCAAAAGUGCAUUUUGUUGGAUUGAGUUUGAGCUGAAACUUUCUUAGUCUUAAGAACAAUUUUCUCAGGACCUGCACAUGCUUCUCCUCUGUUCUAGAUUGGACAAUCAUAUCAUCAACAUAAACCUCAAUCUCUUUGUGCAUCAUGUCGUGGAACAAGGCUACCAUGGCUCUCUGAUAUGUUGCUCCCGCAUUCUUUAAUCCGAAUGGCAUUACUUUGUACCAAAAUGUUCCCCACAAAGUAAUGAAUGUAGUCUUUCCCAUAUCUUCAGGGUGCAUCUUUAUCUGAUUGUAUCUUGAGAAACCAUCCAUGAAGGAAAACAGUGAAUAUCCCGCCGUAUUAUCCACCAAAGUAUCGAUAUGUGGCAAUGGGAAAUUGUCUUUUGGGCUAGCUUUGUUCAAAUAUCUGUAAUCUACGCACAUUCGCACUUUUCCAUCUUUUUUAGGGACUGGGACGAUGUUGGCUACCCAUUCAGAAUAUUUGACCUCCUGUAAAAACCCAGCAUCAAACUGCUUCUUGACUUCCUCUUUUAUUUUAAGCACAAUAUCGGGCCUCAUUUUUCUUAACUUCUGUUGAACCGGCUUACAAUCCUCCCUCAUAGGUAGGCGAUGCACUACAAUGUCAGUGCUCAACCCGAGCAUAUCUUGGCACGACCAUGCGAAGACAUAUUUGAAUUCUUGGAGUAAUUCAAUGAGGUCUCAUCUUGUCUUUACAGAAAUCUCAGUUCCAAUUUUCACCUCUUUCCCUUCUUCCAAGCUCACAACUUCUAUUGCUUCCUUGUGAGGUAAAAUUUAUUUUUCUUCCUGUUCUACCAUUCUCAACAAGUCCAAAGAUAAACCACCAUCUACGUCAGCUUCAAAGUCUUGUGAUCCCUCUAAACACAUGUUUCGUUCCAAAGGAAACUCUGAGUUUGUAGCAGUGUCAUUCGCGUCAUUGAUAUACAAUGACCUAAUAUGGUUACAAAAGAAUGUAUAAAUUUAUGUACAAUUAUUUGUGCAAUAUGAUUAUAAAUGAAAGAAUAAUUUAAUAUAUUUACUCGUAUAGAAAGAAUAAAAGAAUAUUUACUCGAAAGAGUUGUAUUUUAUUAAAAUAAUGAUAUUUGAACAUAAGCCUUUUUCACAAAAGAGUUCUUAUUAUUUCUAAGCUAAAAUAACAAGUUUGUUCUGAAUAUUACUCUGAGACAGUUCUAAAGACUUCAGGUAUUUCUUUCGCAGUCGAAUUAUCUAGAACACUCCCAAGUUUAUAAGGACAAAUGUCUAACAAACUCCUCCCUUCAUUUGCAUCCUCAUUUAUGGCAUUGAUGUGCAUGUUUUUCCAACGUCUCUUCGAUGCUUUCCUCAAUUGAUAUCCUUCUCUCAGAAUGAAUGAUUCCUCCAAAUAUGAAGGUUUUGGAUAUUGGGGUUUUAUCAUUGGCUCCCAUUUGAUUUCCUUCCCACUUAAACGCGCCCUUCUUCUUUCCUGCCUUCUUUCCAACUCCUUUCUUUGUCCUCUAUUUGGUUUGUACCCUAAGCCAAAGUUGUAUUGUUUCUCUUUUAGCACUGGAACCUCAAUUUUCCCUUGAAGGUAUUUCCCUAAUCCUCUUCUGGGUAAAGCUCCUUUCCCUACCAACAAUUACAAACCCAUCUUUGUAGUUUUGGAUAUUUUAGGCACCAGAAUUUUGCUCCCUUUAGGAAUAAAUGUUGCAUUUACAAACUCCAGAGAUCGAAAAGAGCAUUCCACCGACUCGUCAUUGGUCUCCACAUACAGCGCCUCAUUGGAUACAACCACUAUAAUAUCCUCUUCGGCAUUUAUUGUCACCAGCCGACCUUCUGACACUAACUUCAAUUUCUGAUGUAAUGAUGACGGUACGGCCCCCACUGACUGUAUAUAUGGUCUCCCUAAUAAGCAAUUGUAGGAAGGUUUGAUGUCCAUCACAAGAAAAUCCACCUCAUAAACUGUUGGGCCAAUCAAUAAGGGUAUCUCAAUUCUUCCCAUGACCUUUCUUUCUGUACCAUCAAACGCCCUCACUAUAUUUUGGCAUGUUUUCAUGUGCGAGCUGUCUAAGGGAAGCUUGUUAAGUGUGGAUAAUGGGAACACGUUCAAAGCUAAUCCAUUGUCAAUCAACAUUUCUGGCAAAGUAUACCCCUUGCAUCGUGUAGUGAUAUGCAAAGCCUUGGUAGACCCCAUGCCCCCAGGUGGUAUUUCAUCAUUAUUGAAGAAUAUGAAAUUAUCAGCAUUGAUAUUAUUGACCAACCGAUCUAAUUUGUCGACAGAAAUAUCGUUGGUCACAUAGGUCUCGUUCAGCACCUUCAUCAACGCAUUUUGGUGCACUUUUAAAUUCAAGAGUAAGGCUAGUACAGAUAUACGAGCCGGUUGUUUAUGCAACUGUUCGACGAGAUUAUACUCGCUAUGCUUAAAAAUUUUGAGGAAUUCCAUAGCUUCUUCCUCUUUCACUGGCUUAUUGAUAGAUAACACAGGCUUAGCUAUUUUCCCUUUUUGUUCCACUGUUACGGCCCUUCCUUUCACAGGUUCUGGAUCGGCACUCACACCCUGGUCCUUUGUAGUCUUCUUUCUAAGGAUAGUUGUAUUGCACUCGUAGUUCCAUGGAACCUUCCUACUAUCUUGGUAAGAAAAGAUUGCAGGUUUCUUUAUUAUGAUCCUUGGCAUCAUUGGCGUUCUUACUUCAUCAUUCUUUGGUCGCGAGAUGAUGACCACAGGCUGAGCUACUUUUGGAGCCUUCAUGGAUUCAGAUGUGCAUAUACUCCCUUCUUCCUUAACUUCUUCGUAGAACUCCAUUUCUUUGUUAUCCAUCAUGCCUUGAACUAAGGCUCUAAAUUCUGCACUCCUGAAUCUCGUGUCCCUUCUCGUGAUGGAACUCACAGUAGUUUUCCACCUUUUCAAAGCUUCUCUUCGAAUCCAGAACAAACAACCCUCUUUCUACCAUCUUCUUCCAGACCCAUCUCAAAGGAAUUUUCACUUCUGCGAUAUUUUCCUUGAUUCCUCUACCCAUGUUCCUACCUAUCAUGUUCAAUCCAUUAUCAUUAUGAUUAGGUAACAAUUUUUUUGUAUUAGGCGAAUCAUCCAAUUUAACAACACCCAUGCCUAUGAGUCUUUCAACCAGCUUCUUGAACACCGUAAAAUGUUCUAUGGAAUGUCCUACGAUUCUCGUGUGAUAAUCGCAUUAUGCGUUUGCAUCGUACCACUUAGGGUACGGAGGCUGCAGAGGUUUCAAGUAGUAAGGGGAAACCAGGUGUGCAUUGAAUAGAUUCUGAUAUAGCUCCCUAUACGACAUUAGAAUCGUCGUGAAUUGAAGCUUCUCCGUAUUUUAGCUUGUGUCAGAUCCCUGUUUUGAUGAUCCUUGUUGGUUAACAGCCACUUUUCCCGGCUGAUUCACCGUAAUCGUCUUUGAAUAUCCCUUACUAUAUGAACUUGUGUUGUUGACCUCAUUUUUUUUCUUCUUCGAGGCCGACCUUUUGUUACUUUCUCCAGCAUCUAUCUUCCCGCUUCUGAUAGCAUUUUCUAUCAUUUCACCAUUUAUAACUAUGUCAGAAAAGCUUUUAGUAGCACUUCCUAACAUGUGUGAUAAAUGAGGCCUUCAAUGUGUUAACGAAAAGCAUUGUCAUUUCUCGUUCUAGAAUAGAUGGCUGAACUUGGACGACAACCUCCCUCCAACUCUGUGCGUAUUGCCUAAAACUUUAACCGGGUUUCUUUUUCAUGUUUUGCAGAGUGAUUCUAUCAGGUACCAUAUCGGUUACAUGAUUGUACUGCUUUAUGAAUGCCUGUGCUAAAUCUCUCAAUGAAUUAAUUUUGGUACGGCUCAAUUGAUUGUACCACUUGGAUGCUGCCCUUGUGAGGCUAUCCUGGAAGCAAUGUAUCAGCAGUUGGUCGUUGUUAACAUACAUAGUCAUUCGUCUGCAAAACAUAGAAAUAUGAGCUUCGGGGCUACUAGUUCUGUUGUACUUCUCAAUGAAUUAAUUUUGGUACGGCUCAAUUGAUUGUACCACUUGGAUGCUGCCCUUGUGAGGCUAUCCUGGAAGCAAUGUAUCAGCAGUUGGUCGUUGUUAACAUACAUAGUCAUUCGUCUGCAAAACAUAGAAAUAUGAGCUUCGGGGCUACUAGUUCUGUUGUACUUCUCAAACUCUGGCAUUUUGAACUUGUAAGGGAGGACUAAUUCUGGAACCAAGCUCAAUUCUUUAGCAUCAAUCCCAUAGUAGCUCUCAACACAUUCCAUCGCUCUAAAUUUCUCUUCCAGCCAUUUGUACUUUUCCUCUAGCUGUUUUGGCAAUUCAUCAUUCAUUUUCUCUUUCCCAGUUGUUUCAUCAAAGUCAGGGACAACAGGAUUGACAAGGUUAUCUCCGGGAUUAGAGCCUGAUCCAGCUUGAAAAUUCAUUGGAGUUGUAACACCAGCCUGAAAAUGCUGAGGCUUGAUGGUGACAGAAGAUUUGCGCGGAUAUACCUCCACUUGGGUCUGCACAUGCUGAGGGGUAAAGCCUGGGGGAUAAAUGGGUCCCUCAUUGUCUCCUUCCAUAUUGAGUACAGAACACUUUCCUUUAUCAGUUCUUCCAGUCAACAACUGAGUUAAUUGAGCCAUCAUACUCCCUUGAGAUUCCAUCAUUUUGUCCAUCAUUUUUUGCUGAAUUUUCACAAGCUGUUCAUUCAUUUGUUGUUGAAGUUGAUCCUGCUUCUCCUUUUGGAACUGUUCUAGCCUUUCCAUCCUUUAAUCCAUGUCUUUAGUUUUUGAUCGAGUACCGUAGUGGUGUGUGGUGGGUUGGUUGGUUUCCAGAUGAACUGAUGAAUGAUUUAUAUUAAUUAGAAUCUUUUCAUAUUUUUAAUGCAUAUGAAAAAAAUACAAUGCAUGAAAUGAAUGCAAAAAAUGCGUCAAUUUUGAUUCAAUUCCAUUUUAAAAAACUUUACUAGAAAGCAAAUUUCUUUACAUAAAUUGAAUUACAAAUAAAGCUUUGCCUUAUUACUCAACAUUCUAAUCUUCCUAAGUAACACAGCUAACUCUUGCCCCCGAUCUGAUUCUAGCUCGUACUUCACACUCAGCAUGUCAGCCUGCACUACUAAAAUUUGUAUGUGAUCAGCUACUUCUCGAAUCUGGACCACCGCUACCUCCAUAAUAUGAUCUCUGCUCCUAACUUGAUUUUGAAAGUAGUGAAGCUGUUCCUUAUUACGACUUUCAAUUGCUUCCAAGCACUCGAUCCGAAUCUCACAAUUUUGCAAGCUAUUUCCAAUUCUUCUAUUCUUUUCUUCAUUUCUUCAAUUUUGCCUAAGCUUGCUCUCAACUCUAUUGUGGAAUUUUGAUUUUGAUACUGACGAAGAGAUCUUUCCAACUCAGUCACCCUAUCCUUUAAUUUACUUUUUUCUCUUUGGCUAUCUAACAAACUCUUUUCUAAAGCCUCGUUUUGCAUCUGUCUCUUGAAAUUUUCGUUCUCAUCUAUCAGCUUUGUCCUUUUCCUCUCAAAUUUCUACUCGCCACUGUUCUGAAGUUUUCCCAACCCGAUAAUUUUCAUUGACAGACGUAACUUUUUAUAUACUAUCUUCAAACUAUCCAACUCCUCUUCAACCUUGUUUUUCCCUUUUCUUAAUUUCUCAGUUUCGAGCUUUUGAACGUCUAUGUCUAAUCUUAAGUUCAUCUUCUCUUCCUCCAUUUGUUCUAUCUUAUUUUCUAACUCUGCAUUUCUUCCUUCAAAAUCUUAUCUUAUGAUUUCCAACUCAGAAGGGACGACCCGCAAAUAUUCCUCUAUUGAUUGGCUAUUUUCCUGACUUAUCUUUGGUAUAUUAUCGUUGAUUCUCUUAACCCACCAUUCAUUAUACUCAGGAGUUGUCAUCGGACCCACCGCUAACCUCUUCAUCCGGCGAGUUUGUUUCCAUGUGCUAGACAUAUCUUGAAUAUUCUUUCUAUAACCAUCAUCCCUGUAUGAAAAUUCACAAUCAGCUAUUCCUUGGGUCGCAGGUAUGAAUUGCCUUGACCUAUACUUCCUUAGCACUAACAAUGAGGCAUAUCCAACAGCUCCCCAAAUUCCAAGCAGUGGAACCCAAUCGAAAUUACCACACCUAUACAAGAUCUCAUCUGGAAGCAACCAUGGAACCCUCCACUCGACAUCCCCUCUUGAAGAUUUUGAAGAAUUGACAUCCACUUCUCCUCCAAAAUGUCGUCUCUCCUCAGUGUGGCUACAAUCUCCUUUAAUGGUGAGUAAUUUUCAGAGAAAACCCUAUAGAAAACCUGAUCAACCUUCCAAAAGUGAGUGAAACCAUGCGAGUAGGAGCUGUGCACAUCCAAUGAAUCUACCCUCACCCGCCUUUCGGCAUGCACUCAAUGACCUGAAAAUUUCUGCCAAAAUCGCUGGAAUCGGUGUAACCUUCAACAUACCCGAAAGCUUUGGGGAAGACAACUAAACCAUAUAUACUCAAAGGAAAAACGUCUAACCUCUUCCUGACAUCUGGGUGCGUAGAAUUAAAUCUUUCAAACUCUUCCAUGGAAUGCACUUGCUAUCCCCUUUUUGCUUAAUCCGUGCAGCAACCCACUGCUCACUCAUCACCGUUACAUUCAUCAGCUUCUUCGAAAAGGUUGGCACAUUUAUCGCUCUCGAGUAGACCUUGUCCACUUGAAACUUUGAACAUCGGAGUAAAGUUACAUAUUCUUCUAUCGUAGGCACCAAAUUUACCUUCCCAAAUGUGAAGCAGCUGUAAGCAGGAUUCCAAAACUGGGCGAGGGCUCGAAACAAAUACUUGUCUACCUUCACAUCAAACAAAUAAGGCAAAUCCCCAUAAUUAUUAUAAAAUGACUGUCUAACCUUGUCAUUCCACUGAUCCUAAAUUUCCUUCAACUCUUGCAAAUUGUUUUGAGUUACACUAAUACGAGUAAAAUCCCAUAGUUCUGAUACAUAUCUGUCAACCAAACUAUCGUCUUUCUCUUGCAGUGUCGUUUCAGACCAAGUUCGGACAACCGCAUUAUCCUCCACUUUAUCAAAAAACCCUUUUUCCAUGAUAAGUUUUCUAUCUAGCAACUGAAAAUUAACCGACGCCUUUUAUAAUGAAAUGAGAUGCCAUGUCAUGCAAUCAAAAUAAAACAUAAAAAGUCAGUAUCAUACAAACAUAAAAUAUAAUCAAGAAAUAGUAAAACACCUAUUUGGAUAUCUACCAAGGUUCAGUGUAGUUCUACCUAAGGUGGAUUCCUAAGGUUCACUAUAUGAAGUUCGGCUUCUAAGGCAAAGGUACUAAAACCAGCAGAUUCCUCGAUCUUCACCCAAUAUAGGCUCAUAUAGAUCAAGUUCGGUUCAGGGGAAUACAUUUUCCCUAUGACUAUACGGAGAUGAAAAUCUCACGAAGGCAUAGGUACCGAUGUAUUUCAAAAGCGACCCACUAUCCUAUAUGGAGGUGAAAACCUCACGAAGGAAUAGUUUCUCACUCCCACCUAGAAGGGUAAGAUCAUUCAAUUCAUGUAAUGUGUAAUGCAAACAAUACUUAGAUCAAUUAAGCAAGAAAAUAAUGAAUACAAAAAGAAUAUCAUGAAUUUAUUUUUUUCGACCAUAAGACAAGAAUUAAUCAACUUUGUGGCUCGACUCUCUUAUUUUAAAAAAAUGUCCCCAGUGGAGUUGCCAAGCUGUCGAAACUAUUUUUAUCUUAAAAAAAACAAAAAAUAGUUGUCGAUGAAAAUUGGAGUUGCCACUAAUCUUUUAUUAAGGUGUGAUUGGAUCACCUAAAAACGAAUUUGGUCUACGAGUUUUAUAAAAACGAGUUCGGAAGUCAGUUACGUACGAGGAAGGAUUAGCACCCUCGUAACGCCCAAAAAUUGGUACCAAAUUGAUUAAUUAAUGUCUUAACGUCGAGUUAAAAAUACGAUCCUUAAUUAAAUUAAAUUAUUUAUUAAGACUCCCUCAUUUUGAAACAGAAAACAUCACACCCAAUACGUUAGGGCACGAUAUUUUAUUUCUUCAAGAUGAGUUUGUCCAAAAGAUUUGUGUGAUAAAAUUUAAAAGAAUAUCCAUUUGUUUAAAAUUUAUAAGGAAAUCGCGGCCCAAUACAUUGGCACAAUUUCUCAAAAUUGUAAGCAUUGAAUAUUUCCUUUAUUAUUUUUUUAGAAAAAUCUUUAUCUCGAGAAAUCAACGCGUCACAUCCAAUACGUUAGGACACCACAUGUUGAAUUCCCGAUGACAAGCUUUAUUUUAUUUAAUUAAAGAGCAAUUCUUGAUUGUUAGAUUUUACGAAGAAAAUUGGAACCCAAUACGUUAGGGCUCAAUUUUCUUGAAAAUCCUAAAUACGAGUAUUAUCUCUAUUUUGAAAAUUUUAUAUUUUUAAAUUCAAGUAAAAGAUGAUGUAAUGUUAUAUUGUAUGUAUAAAUGUCGCGAUAGCAAAUACAACAAUAAUAAAUACAACAAUGGCAUAGAAAUAAUAUAAACAAAUAAAUGAACGAAACUAAUAUUCCUAAGAAAAAAAUAAUUAAUGACAUGCAAAGUAUCAAAUAAACAAGCAAGAUAAAAAAAUAAUAUAAAUGAAAACACAAAUUAAUAAACAAAUGAAAUAAAUAAAUAAAUAAUAAAAAGUACAUAAUAUAUACAUUGAACUUAUGAAGAAUAAAAAGACAUGCACAUACAUGGAUUUACAUAUAAAAUCUAGAAUUAUAAAAUUUAUAUAGCAAAAUAUAUAAUGUAUUUAUGAAAAUAAAUAAAAAUACAUAAUUAUACGUAUAUAUAAUAAUAAUAAGAAAUACGAUUUUUAAAAAAUAAGUAUUUAAUCAUUUUAAAAAACAUGAAUAUAUACGUGUAUAUAUAUAUAUAUAAAUAUAAAAAAUAUUCAUUAAAAAAUAUAAAUAUAGAAAAAUAUUCGUUAGAAGAAAAUAUAAAUAUAUAUACAUAUAUAGAUUUUUUUAAAAAAAUUAAAAUUAAAUAUAUAUAUAUAUAUAAUAAUUACAUUAUCAAUUAAUUAAAAAAUAAAGAAAAUAAAAAAGGACUAAAUUGAACUGAAGACAAAAAAUUUGGGGCAAAUUCGCAAAUAAUUGAAGAUCGAAUGACCAUAUUGAAUGCGCAAAGAAUGCAGAGGGGCUGGAAAGGAAGUUGUCCCUUCUCUAAAACGGCGCUGUUGCAAGUUGGACGAAAUUGAAAUUAAAAACAAAUUAAAGGCGAAUUUUAAAAAUAAAAUAAACUUAAUUGUAAAAAGUAUUAAAAGGCGGAGGGGCUAAAAGCACAAUUUACCCCUCCGCUCAAAAACACGCGGAUCCUAGGCCGAGUCGGGUCGACCUUCCCAAAACGACGCCGUUUUGGGCGUUUGGGGGCUCUCCAAAACGGUACCGUUUUGGUACCCUAUAAAAGCCCCUAUCUUUCCAAAAAAACUCAUUUUAAACCCUAUUUAAAAAAAAACAAAGUCCUUUAAAAAAAGCUCUCCCCCUUAGUUCUCCGGUGUCCAAUCCGGCCAUCGGCCGCUCAUCGGCCACCGCACUGGUCGUCGAUCUCCAACGUCGACACCGCCGUCUACAGUGGCCGACAAUGGGGAAAAUCCCUUAUUCGGUUCCUUCGGUCUCUCUAAACCCAAAUCUGGGUUUGGAAUUUUCAAAAUAUCGACAAAAACCGCAAAGAAGUCAAGGAAACCCUUCGGUUUCCGGCCACCGAUCCUCGGCGUGGCUCCCUCAAACGCUUCAGCGCCGUUUCAAAGUCCAAAGAAAGGUGGUUUCUUUCGUUUUUAAUUUUAUAUUAUUCGUUUAUAAAAAAUAAAACAAUAAAUAGAAAAAUAGAAAAAUAAAUAAAUAUUGUAAAUGUCAACCUUUUUGAUCGAUUUGCCCUCUGUAUUGAACUCUCGGUGUGAAAAUAAUAACUUUUUUUAUUUGAUUUUCCCGUGGUCCCCUUUACAGUAUUCUUAAUGGCUUUUUAUAGCCAUAAUAAAACAAAUAGUAUAGAAAGUAAAUCUUGUUUACAUCAAUUUGAUUAUCAAUCUUUUGAUUUUUCUUUCCAUAUACUGUUUUGUUUCUUUUCUUGUCGUGCAGGUGAAGCGGGGAUGCGGCUCUUGCGGAUCUUGGCUGCAGCGUGAGGCUUACCCCAGAAACCCUAGGGUUUCUGAAACUGCUUUGGGCCCGGGAUUUAUUUUGGGCCUCUGUUUAUUUCAGUUUGGGCCCUUAUAGGCCUGUUUGUAAUUGGACUCUGUAUUUAUUUUUCAUGUAGGCCGGGUAAAAUUUAGGUGUUACAAACUUUAUAUAGUUUUUUUAUGUUUAUUGUUUUUUAAAAAAUAAAAAAAUGAAAAAGGUUUAUUUUUGUUAUUAUUAUAUUUUUAAUGACUAUUUAAAUUUAAUUUAAAAAAAAAGACAGACCUAACAUACAAAUAGAUCAAAAGUUUAAAAGCAUUUAAUUGGAUGCCGCCAACAAUCAUGAGCCACCCUUUUUUCAUCUCAUUUAAAAAAUUAAUUAUUUCAUCUAGUUUCUAAACGUUUUAUAUAAUCACAUUUCAAUCCGGUGUCACCAAUAACAAUGGCAGAACCUCACAAAAAAAUAUUAUUUUUUAAAAUCAACCAAUAUUGGCCCAUUAUGAAGGAUGGUGCGUCAAUGGCAAUGACGACACCAAAAUUUACUGUUCAAAACAGGUAUUUUUAUAUAUAAUUUUGUACAUGAUUUUUUAUAAAUAAUUAAUUUAUUUGAGUUAUCUUUAAGAAAAAGCCAUGAAAGGUUGAAUGGUGACUUUGAGAGAUGGGGCAUCUCCUGCACAACACCCAUUUGUGAAGGCAGAACAAAUGGAUCGACUCAUGCAAAAACAAGUCAAAUUUUGGGCUACAAUAGCUGCUUCCAUAGACAUCUGGCCUUAAUUUCCUUACCCCCAAAAAAUAUUGAUUAAAAUAUAAAUAGUAUAGAUUAAAAUAUUUAAAGCAUAAACUUUAUUUUAUUAAAAUAAUUAAAUUUCAAGAAAAAAACCGACAAAUUUCAUUAAAAUAUAAAAGCAUAAUGUCAAAUUUAUCUCUUACCCCUUUUUUUUAAAGCUAAAUUUAAUUCUAAACAUUUUUAAAAAUAGUUAACUUUAAUCAUAAAUCUUUUGAAAAAGAAAUUGAAUUGAUGUUUUUUCUAAUAGAAAUAUUGAUUAAAAUGUUAAAAAUUUAAGUACCGCAGCCUUAUGAAAUUUCAUAUGUAAUUCAUGUUUUUUUUAAUUUUUUAUGAAAAUUUUGUAUUUUUUUAAAUUUUGAAUUUGGAAAUUUUUUUAAAAUUUUAAAAUAUUUGUUAACUUUAAGAUAUAAAAUAAAUAAUGUUAUGUUAGCAUAAAGUACACCUGAAAUAUUGUUAAAAAUUAAUAUUUUAAUAUUUUAAUAUCAAGCAACAAUGUUAGGGAUUCAACUGGGUUACCUUAAUGUGGACAUAUUAGGAGACUCAAAAACAGUUAUAUCUAAAUGUCAAAGUGAAAAUCGUGACAGAUCAGAAAUAGGAGCAAUCAUCAGUGAUAUUCAAAGUCUAAAAGGUUUCUUUCAAAAAAUCAGAUUCUCCUUCAUACCAAGGACUGGAAAUAUGGAAGCACACAGAAUAGCAAGAGAAACACUCAAGAAAGGAGAAGAAUUUUACCUGGAAGGAGAGACUUUACGUGCGUUAUGGGAGGAGCAUGAAUCAAUUCGUCUGGAUCAUUCGGAGCAAAGGGAGAGGAGAUAAGAUUUGUUUUGAAGUGGGUGUCGGUUGAAAUGAAAGAUGAAGAGCAGUAUAGUAAAAGCAAUCAGAAAAGCAGGAGAUCUGAGGAGAUUUGCUUUUACUGUUCAGUGGUCUUGGGCAGAGGAAAUGGAAGAACAAUUAUUGCAGACAACUGGAUCACGUUCGGCUGGGGGUUUUUGAUUUUUUUCGUUUGUGGGCUAAAAUGAUAACAGCCCGUUUCUUUGUAGUUUUAUUUAGGAUUUAUUGUUUUAGGUUCAGCCCAACUUGGACGAUUUUCAUUUUUUUCUUUUUUAAUCCAGUCGAAUUUUCAAAAAAAAAAAUUCUUUUAAAAGAUUAAUAAUGAAAUUUAGUUUAAAAAUAAGAGUUAAAUUGAUAAAAUGUAAAUAUUUAGCGUUAAAUUUAUGAUUAUGGUAAAUAUAAAAGGCAC